rnacentral:rRNA from 1 species
UACGAAGGGGGCUAGCGUUGCUCGGAAUGACUGGGCGUAAAGGGCGCGUAGGCGGUUUGCACAGUCAGAUGUGAAAUUCCUGGGCUCAACCUGGGGGCUGCAUUUGAUACGUGUAGACUUGAGUGGGGAAGAGGGUCGUGGAAUUCCCAGUGUAGAGGUGAAAUUCGUAGAUAUUGGGAAGAACACCGGUGGCGAAGGCGGCGAGCUGGUCCAUUACUGACGCUGAGGCGCGACAGCGUGGGGAGCAAACAGG